rnacentral:rRNA from 1 species
AGAGUUUGAUCAUGGCUCAGGAUGAACGCUAGCGGCAGGCUUAAUACAUGCAAGUCGAGGGGCAGCGCGGGUAGCAAUACCUGGCGGCGACCGGCGCACGGGUGCGUAACACGUAUGCAACCUACCUUAAACUGGGGAAUAGCCCCUCGAAAGAGGGAUUAAUGUCCCAUAACACUGUGAAAAGGCAUCUUUUUACACUUAAAGCUCCGGCGGUUUAAGAUGGGCAUGCGCGACAUUAGCUAGUUGGUGAGGUAACGGCUCACCAAGGCUGUGAUGUCUAGGGGUUCUGAGAGGAAAAUCCCCCACACUGGUACUGAGACACGGACCAGACUCCUACGGGAGGCAGCAGUAAGGAAUAUUGGUCAAUGGGCGCAAGCCUGAACCAGCCAUGCCGCGUGCAGGAUGACGGCCCUAUGGGUUGUAAACUGCUUUUAUACGGGAAAAAACCCCCGAUCGUGAAUCGGGGCUGAUGGUACCGUAAGAAUAAGGAUCGGCUAACUCCGUGCCAGCAGCCGCGGUAAUACGGAGGAUCCAAGCGUUAUCCGGAUUUAUUGGGUUUAAAGGGUGCGCAGGCGGAAUUAUAAGUCAGUGGUGAAAUCCUGCAGCUUAACUGCAGAACUGCCAUUGAUACUGUAAUUCUUGAGUAUAUUUGAAGUGGGCGGAAUGUGUCAUGUAGCGGUGAAAUGCUUAGAUAUGACACAGAACACCAAUUGCGAAGGCAGCUCACUAAGCUAUAACUGACGCUCAUGCACGAA